CUCGACAUGAUCGAGCAGGGCUACGAGUCUUGCUGCUUUGAUGACAGGUAUACUAAGUGUGAGUUAGUGCGCCUGGGGGUAUUUGCUGCCCUAGUGUCCUUGAUGUGCUCGUCUAUGUGACCUGCAGUGUAAGUCUAAAACAUGAGAUGAUUCUAGCGGGAGCGUAAUUAAACGUUUGCAUGCCUUUUAUUGUGCAUUCUGCAUUGUGGGUUGGUUUCCAUGCCAGCUCAUUACGACUUUUUUCUGACCUCCAG